CCUGGUGUUCAUAGCGCUGUGGAACCACACCGAUCCAUCUCGAACUCGGUUGUGAAACGCAGCAGCGGCGACGAUAGUUAGGUGGCAGCACCUCGCCAAAAUAGCACGAUGCCAGGA
rnacentral:rRNA from 1 species